GCCUGGGUGGCUCAGUUGGCUGAGCAUCCGACUUCAGCUCAGGUCAUGAUCUCACAGCUCGUGGGUUCGAGCCCCGCGUCAGGCU
rnacentral:tRNA from 1 species